ensembl:ncRNA lncRNA:CR43461 long non-coding RNA:CR43461
AAAUUAUGACGUGGUAGUAAUAGUAAUAGUAUGUGUGUCGGUGUGGGGCGGUGUGUAUGUCGGUGUGUGUCGGUGUGUGUCAAGCUGGUUCCAGAAGCCAUGGGGGCAUCCCAUCUUCGUUCCGGAUGCAGUGCAUCAUGGACCUGACCAGAUUUUUGGAAUUGAAACUGAAUCUGCCACCUGGUAACUGAUUGCUACUAGUUCGCAAGCCUUCAUUGCAUCAAUUGGAAGACGAUCUCGAGCAUUGAGGAACUAACUGUCUGCUUGAGUGCUUUUCCAUUGAAAUUCCCUUUUGAUUUUCACUUAAUUCCAUUUGCAAACUGGUUUGUGGCGCCCGAGCAGGUACAACAAUGGAUAUGACAACAAUUAGUUGAUGCCACAUGUCGCCUGGCUCUUUGUUCGCCGCCUUUUUGCAAAAUAUAUACAUACAUAUAUCGC